CCUACGGGAGGCAGCAGUGGGGAAUCUUGCGCAAUGGGCGAAAGCCUGACGCAGCCAUGCCGCGUGUAUGAUGAAGGUCUUAGGAUUGUAAAAUACUUUCACCGGUGAAGAUAAUGACUGUAGCCGGAGAAGAAGCCCCGGCUAACUUCGUGCCAGCAGCCGCGGUAAUACGAAGGGGGCUAGCGUUGCUCGGAAUUACUGGGCGUAAAGGGAGCGUAGGCGGACAUUUAAGUCAGAGGUGAAAUCCCGGAGCUUAACUUCGGAACUGCCUUUGAUACUGGGUGUCUUGAGUGUGAGAGAGGUAUGUGGAACUCCGAGUGUAGAGGUGAAAUUCGUAGAUAUUCGGAAGAACACCAGUGGCGAAGGCGACAUACUGGCUCAUUACUGACGCUGAGGCUCGAAAGCGUGGGGAGCAAACAGGAUUAGAUACCCUGGUAGUCCACGCCGUAAACGAUGAUUGCUAGUUGUCGGGAAGCUUGCUUCUCGGUGACGCNGCUACGCAUAGANACNCCGCCGUGGAGGUACGGUCGCGAGAUAAACUACGAAGAAGUUAGUAGCGUUGAGACGNGCCGACGGACGACGACGAGGGAGGAGG
rnacentral:rRNA from 1 species